AUACGGAGGAUGCAAGCGUUAUCCGGAUUUAUUGGGUUUAAAGGGUGCGUAGGCGGUUUGCUAAGCGGGAGGUGAAAUGCCGGCGCUCAACGUCGGAAGUGCCUCCCGAACUGGUGGACUUGAAUGACUCUGCCGUGGGAGGAAUGUGUAGUGUAGCGGUGAAAUGCUUAGAGAUUACACAGAACACCGAUUGCGAAGGCAUCUAACGAAAGGUUGAGAGACGCUGAGGCACGAAAGCGUGGGGAUCAAACAGGUUUAGAUACCCUGGUAGUACACGCAGUAAACGAUGAUACCUAACCGCUGGGUCGUAGUGAUUCAGUGGCCAAGCGAAAGUGAUAAGGGAUCUCCCUGGGGAGUACGACCGCAAGGUUGAAACUCACAGGAAUUGACGGUG
rnacentral:rRNA from 1 species